rnacentral:rRNA from 1 species
GACGAACGCUGGCGGCGUGCUUAACACAUGCAAGUCGAACGGCAAGGCCCUGCUUUUGUGGGGUGCUCGAGUGGCGAACGGGUGAGUAACACGUGAGUAACCUGCCCUUGACUUUGGGAUAACUUCAGGACAGUGGGGCUAAUACCGGCUAGGAGCUCUUGCUGCAUGGUGGGGGUUGGAACGUUUCGGCGGUUGGGGGUGGACGCGCGGCUUAUCCGCACGUGUGAGGGGUAGUGGCUUACCACGGCCUGUACGGGUGGCCGGCGCUAUGGGGUGACCGGCGACAAUGCGACUGUGUGACGGCCCAGACUCAUACGGGAGUCAGCAGUGGGGAAUAUCGCACAAUGGGCGGAAGCCUGAUGCAGCCACGCCGCGUGCUGGAUGACGGCCUUCGGCUUGUGAACCUCUUUCGCUUGUGACUAUGCGUGAGUGACGGUAAUGGGUAAAGAAGCACCGGCUAACUACGUG